rnacentral:rRNA from 1 species
CCUACGGGCGGCAGCAGUGAGGAAUAUUGGUCAAUGGGCGCGAGCCUGAACCAGCCAAGUCGCGUGAAGGAUGACUGCCCUAUGGAUUGUAAACCUCUUUUGUAUGGGAGUAAAAUGUUCCACGUGUGGGGUUCUGUAUGUACCAUAUGAAUAAGGAUCGGCUAACUCCGUGCCAGCAGCCGCGGUAAUACGGAGGAUGCGAGCGUUAUCCGGAUUUAUUGGGGUUAAAGGGAGCGUAGGUGGAUUGUUAAGUCAGUUGUGAAAUUUUGGGGCUUAACCGUAACAAUGCAGUUGAUACUGUCAGUCUUGAGAACAGUAGAGGUAGGCGGAAUUCGUGAAGUAGCGGUGAAAUGCAUAGAUAUAACGAAGAACUCCGAUAGCGAAGGCAGCUUACUGGACUGCAACUGACACUGAGGCUCGAGAGUAUGGGUAGCAAACAGGAUUAGAUACCCUGGUAGUC